rnacentral:rRNA from 1 species
AGAGGCGGACGGGUGAGGAACGCUUGGGAAUCUGCCCUUCAGCGGGGGACAACCCGGGGAAACUCGGGCUAAUACCGCAUACGCUCCACGGAGGAAAGCCGGGGACCGCAAGGCCUGGCACUGAAGGAUGAGCCCAAGUCGGAUUAGCUAGUUGGCGGGGUAACGGCCCACCAAGGCGACGAUCCGUAGCUGGUCUGAGAGGACGAUCAGCCACACUGGGACUGAGACACGGCCCAGACUCCUACGGGAGGCAGCAGUGGGGAAUAUUGGACAAUGGGGGAAACCCUGAUCCAGCGACGCCGCGUGGGUGAAGAAGGCCUGCGGGUUGUAAAGCCCUUUCGGUAGGGACGAAAGCUCUCGACCUAACACGUCGGGAGGUUGACUUAACCUACAAAAGAAGCACCGGCUAACUCUGUGCCAGCAGCCGCGGUAAUACAGAGGGUGCGAGCGUUAAUCGGAAUUACUGGGCGUAAAGCGCACGUAGGCGGCUUGGUAUGUCGGGUGUGAAAUCCCCGGGCUCAACCUGGGAACUGCAUCCGAAACUGCCUUGCUCGAGUAUGGGAGAGGGAAGUGGAAUUUCCGGUGUAGCGGUGAAAUGCGUAGAUAUCGGAAGGAACAUCAGUGGCGAAGGCGACUUCCUGGACCAAUACUGACGCUCAGGUGCGAAAGCGUGAGGAGCAAACAGGAUUAGAUACCCUGG